rnacentral:lncRNA from 1 species
CUGGAGCUAGCACUAUUGUAAAAUAGGCACAAGAUGGUUAACGUGGUUUGGCUCUGUGUCCCCAUUCAAAUCUCAUGUUGAAUUGUAAUCCCCAGGUUGGGGAAGAGACCUGGUGAGAGGUGAUUGGAUCAUGGGGUGGAUUUCCCCCUUGCUGUUCUCGUGAUAGUGAGUGAGUUCUCAUGAGAUCUGGUUGUUUGAAAGUGUGUUGCACUUUGCUCUCCCUCUCCUGACAGCCGUGUGAAGAUGUGCCUGCUUCCCCUUCUGCCAUGAUUGUAAGUUUCCUGAGACCUUCCCAGAGGCAGAAGCCUGUACAGCCUGCAGAACUGGAAAGCUGUCUGGGGAGCAGACAUUUCACAGAGCAGGAAGCAUGAACACUCAGUAACACAGGAAAGGAUGCUCUGCCUCAUCACAAGCAUACAAGUGAAAUGCCAUCUCAUGCACCUACCAGACUGGUAGAAAUGUAAAGUCUGCUAAAACCCAGUGUUUGCAAGGAUGUACAGCAAAAGGAACUCUACUUCAGUUGCUGGGAAGAGUGUAAAUGGUUAUAACUGCUUCUAAGAUAAAUUGAGCAUUACCUAGUGAAACUAAAUAUGUGGAUAUUUACAACCUCACAACUCCACACAGACAUGUACUCAAGAGAAACCCUUGUACAUGUUCACAAUAAGGAAUAAGCAACAAUGUUCUUAUUGCUUGAAAUGAAACAACUUAAGUGUUAACAGUAGACUAAAUAAAUUGCUAUAUUU